GGGGAUUUAGCUCAGUGGUAGAGUGCUUGCCUAGCAAGUGCAAGCCCCUGGGUUCAGUCCCCA
rnacentral:tRNA from 1 species